UCACUGGUUCAGUGCCCUCCUUCACAUAAGCCGGCAGGAAUCAGAGCCAGGGUGGUAAGUGCUCUCACAGGUCUCUGCAAAGGCUCUCAGAGGACAGCCGAAGAGGGAUACCUAUCCCCGACUCCAGGGGGAAGCUUCCUGUGGGAGGUGGCACCUGAGCUCAGUCUUGAAGGAAAGGACUGACUACACACCCCUGAGGAUGCAAGAACAAACAGUUUGUGCAAAACCUGAAGGGCACCAGAAGCAGAGGACUGCCUGAUGGGGACCACAUGCCUCCCCCACCGCAGGCGCUUUGAUUCCUGCCCAGGCUACAAACAUCCUGCUGUUCCUGCCUGCGCCAGACACCUUCCUUAUGCGGCGUUGCGUGCAGAAGACCCUUGCUACAUAAAAAGACUUGCAAGUCCCAGAGCCAUCCCCUUCCCCCCUUCCUGGAGGGGUGAUGCUGGAGAGCAAUGCCAGCACCCCCAUCCCCAGCAGGGCAGCCACACAGUGGCUUCCAGCAAGGAUCCUGCGGGCCACACAAAGGAAAUGGCAAGAUAGUGAGUCACCCAGAGGCUCGCCUGCUGCCUGGGCUGCUGGCCCACAACAGGACCUUUGUGCUGCGCUCCAGGAGGACAAGGAGGACGGGCGCAGGGAGGCAGACAUUGCAGGGCUCUGAGUAAUGCUCAAGAGGGAAGGGAUCUCCACAGGAAGCAGGGCCGACUUCUGGGCGCCCACCACUGCAGAGCCACUGGUGCAGGGACUCGGGCAGACUUACCGAGUGCCCCUCUGCCACCAUCUGCUCAUACUGCUCGUCCCCUGCAAAGAUGCAUCCUGUUUUUCAGAGGACUGUAUACUUCACCACAGCGUGAGGAGUGUGAGGCCUGGGAGCAUGUCCUUUAAACUCUUCCUACGAUCAUCCCUAACACAGCACUGAGAAGGUGCUGAGAGUUUGUGGGAAGGGUGGAUGGAUGGAUGGAUGGGUGGGUGGAAGGAAGGAAUAAUUCACUCGUAUAAAUACUAUAGCAUGUGGGGAGCUAGCCCAGUGUCUCCAUUUCACAAAUUGGGAAAUGAGGGCCCGGAGGUAGGAAUGGCUAGACCUAGGUCCCACAGGGAGUAGGUGACAGCUUUAGAAUCUGGGUGCCAUGCUGCCCAGCCUGGGGUGCUCCACUGUGUAGCUGCUGUUGUACGGCUCAGGGAACACCAGGAGGGCAUGACUGGCACAUGGACAGAGGUCAGGGUGGUAAGAACCCACAGCAUGGACACGAUAACCAUGGAGGACAAGGCCAAGUCUAGGGACUUACUGGGGAGUGAGGAGAAGAAACCAGAGCAACAGGAGGCAGGGUUCCAGGCCUUAAAGUGAUCGCAAUCUCUUGGCCUAGGCAGGUCAUAGGGUUUACAUAAGAUGGGGAAAGAAUCGGCAUUGUUAACACCUAGUGUGUGCCAAGCACAAACAUUUAAUCCUUUAACCCUGAGAAAGGUGUCAUAACAGAUAAAUAUGGGUCUGGGAGACCAGUGGCCUCUGGGACAGUCAGUUACCAGCUCUGUCAGGGCCUCAGAGUGCUGCGGGUGACUUGGUGGGGCCCUGGGUUACAGGAUGGAUGGAUGGAUCCAGGAUCCAGUGCACAUUUCAGUGCAGCAGGCCCACAGACUCGGUUUGGUGGUGCCCUCAGAGGGGGUCAGGGGGUCCUGGAACUCUAACUCACGUCAGCUUACACUGAGUCUGAGAUGAGACUGGGGUGCCGACGAUUUGAGACUGUUCGUUCGCACUGUGAGAAGGUGAGCAGUGCAGGGUAGGGAAGCAGCAUCAGAGGUUUAGCGCCCAAGCCAGGAUGCUCUGUUCACCUGUGGCCCUCCUUCCCACGGCGGGUGGCCAGCCACAGGCUGCACAGCUAAACUCUGAGGCUGGCCGGCCCAGGGCAGCAUGCAGAGACAUGACCUUUCUCCAUGGCCUUUACUUUCCCUACUUCCAAGGAGGCCAUACUCACCACACAUUCCUUGUUCAUAACAAUCUUCUUUUGGCCUAAACCAAAACGGCAGACUGGCUGAACGCUUCGGACCAGCUGAUACAGCCAUAUCCUGGACACCCUGAUGAGAUUCAGACAGUGUAGAAACCCCUGGCCUCCUCGUGAUGGACCGGGGCUUAAGGCAGAUGCCGUUCAUUCACGGUAAGAAUCAUUUCCUACCUCUGGCAUUUCUCUGUUCCUUAACAGAAGCUAAUUUUAAUUUAAAGAUGACAGUAUUGAACUCCCCACACCCAUGCCCUCCCAAAACUUCCUAAAUUAUCCAGUUUAAAGAUAAGGAGUUUAGAAGUCCAGUAACUUCCCAAAAUCACAGGGCGCCAAGAUUCCAACCUACUCUACUAUGCGUGCCUGCCCUUAAGACUAUUAGCAACAAUGAUGAUAAAGCCCACCAAUCGCCAAGGACUUGCUAUGUGCCCAGCAUAUGUGCACAGCACUUUGUAUAUGUUUUCUCAUGUCAUCCUCAUAGUGUAGAUGAGAAACCCAGAGAUGUCUCUCUUCUUCAUUUUAUAGGUAAGAGUUGAAGUGUAAAGUGGUAAAGAACUUGCCCGGGCCAGGGUCACACAGCUACUCAGUGCAGGAGCUGGAUUUCAAACCAGUCUGUCUGCCUCUCCACCCAGGCUCUUAGCCACCCCACUCCGUGGCAGAACCAGGCACAGUUUCUGCAAUCACUCAACCUCAUGUUACCCCGGGGUCCUGCCUGGGGAGAAGUGGCCCUAUCUGGGAUUACCAAAAUCCAGAGCCUCGCCCUCAGUUGUCAGUUGAAGGAUUAAGUUUAUAUCAGCUUCCCAGAGAGGAACAGGUUCAGACAGCGAGAUUUAGGAUGAUUCACCCCCAUGGGUCUCUGCCAAACCUAAGUAAUUGAUUCACCUGUGAGGUGCACCGGCCAGAGGAGGUUGUGGUUUAGAGCACUGGUUCCGAAGUCGGAUGUAGGUGGGUCUGAAACUCCAUCCACCAUGUCAUAACUCCAAGAAUUUGGACAUGUCACUCCCCCUGUUAUAGCCUCAGAAUAAGGGGAAAUAAUGCCAACCUUGCACAGGAACUGUGGCUUAAACAAAUAUAAAAUGCCCAAUACAAUGGAUGACACUCAGCACAAGCUCAAUAAAUGAUAAUACUUCUCAUUAUUAUUGGCUGAAAACGGGGCUUGGCCACCUGACAAGGUCUCCCCCUGCCUGGUGGGCAGGUUACCUUGAUAAAAACACAUUCUGACUCAGAAGGCUGGUAGGAGCGCCCAGGUAAGCAGGUGGGGGUCUGAGCCCUAAGCCUCUGAUAGCGAGAUGAGGUGCCCACCACCCUUCCCUCCCACCCUUGGGGUAUUUCUGUUUGAACACCCACUUCUGACUCGGAGCCCGCCCUCUCUUGGACAGAACCGCUCACCACAAGAAGGCCUCUCUUCUCAGAACUUCCCACUGAAAAGCAGGCCCGGUGCACCUCAUCUUCCAGACCCCCGGUGCUGGGGUGCCGCAGUGGACAACACAGGGGUGACUCGUCUUUGUCUGGAGCUUGAAGUCCAGUGGGACAAUAAACGAAGCAAACAAAUGAACCAAAUUGUUACAGCUUCCGGUAAUUGCGAAGAAAGAAACAGCAGUGUGAUGUGGUAGACAAUAACUCUGGGGGUGAUGGGGGUGUCAGGAAAGGCCUUUCUAGGGAGGUGGCAUUUACCCUGAGGCCAGAGGGACUGGAUGGAGGCCACUUUGCCAGGAGCUGGGAACAGAAGGUUCCCGGCAUAAGGAACAGCUUUUUGUUUCCAGGGAGGAAAAGAAUUUGGUGUAGCUCAUUGUUCGCAAAAUCAGGCCGGAGCAGAUGGAGCGGGUGGGAGGAAGCAUGGCGCUCAGAUGCAGGCCAAGGGGCCGUGGUCCUCGAUGCACCCACCCGAAUGUGGGGCAGUGAGGACAGGACCUGUUACCAUUUACUGAGCAUCUGCCACGUGCCAGGCACAGUGCAGACAUUUUCUGUAAAUUCUCUCCCUUAAUCCCUGCCACCCCAACGCACCACACAAUGUCUGUAUUCAUGCUCUAGUUUGCCGUACCGCCAGUACUUCCCUGCAGGGUUGUUACGCUGCACACAACACCUCCUCCACCACCACGGGACUGGAAGCUCCCCAUAAGGCGUCUUGGGACCCCAGCACAAGGCACUGGAACAGGGUGCUGCCGUGUCUGUGGAGAUUUCAGACAACACUCCUCUUCACCCAGUCUUGAGCAGUUCAGUUUGGGGGGUCGGUAAAGACAUCAACACCGUUCAAUAAAGUUUGUA